AUUAGAUCCACUGGGGUUUUAAUAUUUGUGUUCAAGGCCCUCCCAGCAGCUCUUCUGAGAAGUUUGGGGUAGACUCCUCUAAAGAAACUUCAUUACACUGGCUGAGCCUGGUGUAUGAUGGGGAUUCCAGGUCAAGAAAGACUUCUGAGGCAGAAGUCAAAGGUAUGUGGCUUCUGGAAGGAGAGGUGCCUAGUUUGGUGUGAUUAGAACAUGGGUUUCAUAGGAAUUGGGAACAGAGCUGAGGCACAAAGGGCAGGUGGCAGUUAAUAAAGGUCUUUAAGGACUGUACUAAGGAGUGUAGAAAAUGAGGAAUGUCAGCAGUUUAGGGCCUCUGAGGGCUAUGAUGGUAGUUGUCUUUUGAAGUAAAACUUCCUUGCCAUAGGAAGAACUGAUGGGAAGUGAG
rnacentral:lncRNA from 1 species